rnacentral:lncRNA from 1 species
GCAUGCAUAAAAAUAUAAAACCACAAAGAUCUAGUUCAUAUGCUGAAAUUGACAUAUGCUGAAAUUUAGAUUGUAAUCAAAUCAUAUACCUGUUUCGUAAUCCUUUUCUUCAAAUUUGGAUCUGAAAGAGAAGAAAAUUUUUUUUAGCUGUACAAAUAUCCGACCUCUAUGGUAUCCACUUGGGAUCAGUCUGGAACAAUCCUCUUCAAGUCAAAUUUUUUUCUCUAAGAAAAUCAGCCUGCUAAAUCUGAAUGAAGCCUGGAUCGCGAUCAAUACUUGAUCUCUUUCUUCUUCUCUUCUUCUCUUGUCUUUCUCUCUUGCUUUGUGCAGUUACCAAACACUGAAAACCAGCAAAUAGGGGACACCCAACAGCUUUGCGGGCGUGAUGAAGAAGGGAUGCCCUAAGUGGUGGGACGUGUGGACAUCCAAGAAGAGAGGAGAAGGGAGAGGAAGAGAGGGCGUGGGGGAUC